GGCUCAACCUGGGAACUGCAUUCGAAACUGGCAGGCUUGAGUCUUGUAGAGGGGGGUAGAAUUCCAGGUGUAGCGGUGAAAUGCGUAGAGAUCUGGAGGAAUACCGGUGGCGAAGGCGGCCCCCUGGACAAAGACUGACGCUCAGGUGCGAAAGCGUGGGGAGCAAACAGGAUUAGAUACCCUGGUAGUCCACGCCGUAAACGAUGUCUACUUGGAGGUUGUGCCCUUGAGGCGUGGCUUCCGGAGCUAACGCGUUAAGUAGACCGCCUGGGGAGUACGGCCGCAAGGUUAAAACUCAAAUGAAUUGACGGGGGCCCGCACAAGCGGUGGAGCAUGUGGUUUAAUUCGAUGCAACGCGAAGAACC
rnacentral:rRNA from 2 species